rnacentral:lncRNA from 1 species
AUGAACAUUAGAAACUUUGGAAGCGAGUGGAAUGCAGAAGCUUGGAUGCAGCCGCACGAAUCAGCCGACGAAGGUAGGAUGUUUUUGCUGGUCUAGUCUCAGAAAUUAUAUCUUCAGUCUCUGCAAUGAUCCCAAGUUCAAUGGUGCCCAGUUGCCUCCAGGCCCCAGACUUCUAUGUGAACAAGAAAAGCUCACUGAGGAAAUGGUAAUUCUUCCGUGAGAUGUCAUGUCCAGUUGCAGUUAUGAGUCUUAAGACCACCUGUCAGAUGGUGUGA